rnacentral:snRNA from 1 species
GUGCUUGCUUGGGCAGCACAUACACUAAAAUUGGAAUGAUACAGAGAAGAUAAGCAUGGUCCCU